UACGGGGGGAGCAAGCGUUGUUCGGAUUUACUGGGCGUAAAGGGCGCGUAGGCGGCCAGCACAAUUCAGUUGUGAAAUCUCCGAGCUUAACUCGGAAAGGUCAACUGAUACUGUGCGGCUAGAGUGCGGAAGGGGCAACUGGAAUUCUUGGUGUAGCGGUGAAAUGCGUAGAUAUCAAGAGGAACACCUGCGGCGAAGGCGGGUUGCUGGGCCGACGCUGACGCUGAUGCGCGAAAGCCAGGGGAGCGAACGGG
rnacentral:rRNA from 1 species